UGUGGUGGGGAGGGUUCCUGGCACAGUGAUUUGGUGCACAAAUAUAAACGAAAAUCACAUUGCCAGGGAUUUCCACCCUUACACAGGCAGCUCUCCAGGUGACCCAGGUGGCAUCGGUAUGUUCUGCCCGUCAGGGUACGUCGUUUCUGUUUCCCGAUCUUGGCCCUCUAUGGUCUAUGGAAACAAGAUCAUGUAAAAUAAUACUCAACUCCAGAUAAAAGCUGUUUUCAGCUCUCACACAGGGAUUUACAGAUUACUUCCUGGUAUUAGCUCCUUACAAACGGGAACUGUGGGAAACUGAGCCUACUUUGGCAGCCUUUGCUUAUAGACAUAAGGAGUGGAUAGAUCCAAAGUGCAAAGAGUGUUUUACCUUCUAUAGAAGUCUACAAAAUACUUCCAGCCUUAGAGGAAUCAAUCAACGUUCCUCCAGACUGCCAGUGAAAGUCUAUUUUCCUCAUGUGCAUCCUGUAGGGAGCAGCCACUUGCUAAAGGCACAGAGCUUAGCUAAUUGGUGAGCAUUGAUCCCUCUUAUGUGUUGUUCACAGUGGCUAAGUUCAGUGCCUGCGGUGAAAUAGUUGAUGCAGCAGGAUGUGCUCCAAACGAUGGCGAUGAAUGAGUACUGGCUGAGUUCUGAGAUGUGAAGACGAAGGAAGAAGGUGGGAAGAGAGGGAGAGAUAAUGAUGGAGGAGUGAGGUGUUGCGUGGGCAUGGAGACAGAGGCAACAGCGGGAUACAGCACGAUCCCCGUAAAGAGCAGAGGAAAGAAGGCUGCUGGGGGAAUGUCAGGCCAGCCCUGGCAUGCCCAGUUCCACACUCUAUCUCAGUCAGUCAGUCAGAGCACAGCGCCUGGCUUUGGCACUGGCACUGAUUUAUGUGGCAGAGGAUGGGGCACAGCUCACCUUACCUCCUCCCCAGAGCUGAGCUGGUGUGUGGGCUAGGCUGCCCUCUUGUCACACUCUGAGCUGGUGUGUGGGCUAGGCUGCCCUCUUGUCACACUCUGAGAUGUGGGGGCUUGGUACUUGGUAUAGAACCAUACCAAGCUACCAUGCAACUCUGAGGCCACAUUACGAGUGUGUGGAAUUGACUUUAUGAGUUGACAUACAUGCAAAACAUCUUGUGGGACAGUGGUCAACCCAUUUACGUGAGGCACAUUUGAUUUUGUAGUUCUCUCUGUCCCCUUGUCCAUUGGUCAGUUGGUUAAUUGUGGAUCAUUAUAACAGAGUUCUUAUGGCCUAUUGUAAUGUUGUUUUGGCAAGAGGUUUAGACCUCUUGUGGUAACCGCUUAGUAAGGCCUUAAAUUGAAAGUUUCUCAGGGUUACCCAUCAAAUUGGCUACAGUAUGUUCUGUGGUUUCCAUUCGGUCUCAAUGAUAGAGUGGUAGAGUGUUUCUAAAGGGAUGGACGUGGAGGGUUAAAAUACUCUAUGGUCGGGGCUGUGCCCUCCUGUGCCUACUGAACUGGUAUCAGUUUGAACUCUGAGUACUGGCUCAGUUCAGCAGGAACAGGAGUGGAGCCCACUGUGUGCCAUUACGCCCUCCAGUCAGCAUGCAGAAAGACAUCCAGUACCCCAUUAGCCCUGCCCACCAGACCCCCAAGGGCUUGUGCCAUUGGCCUUGAUGAAACCCAACAUUCCUGUCAGCAUUAAACCCUGAGACAUCAGACGGAGGCAUUGCAGCCUGUGAGAGUUGAAUGUCCCUGCUUCAAGUAUGAAUGUUUCAUAACCAGAUUUAUCAUUAGGAACUGGCAGGCGGCAUGGAGAAGGUACAUUGAAUUUGCUGCAUACUGAUGCAGUUAUUCUCCUCAGACUUCAUGUUUAUUUCAGUAUGGCUUUUUUCCCCUUGACAAUGCCGCAACUAAGCACACACGCACUCUCUAGCUCUCUGAGCCGUCAGGGAGCAAACGGAGAAACUGAAGUUCAUUGUGCGGUAAUCCAAGUGAAAUGUCUGCUAUGUCCAUGUAAUUGACGUUACCUAGAGAGCCUCAUUUUCAGCUGAUUGGGAAUGUCUGCUAUUUUACUUUAUGCUCCCCUGCCACAGAGAUAAUGUAGCACGUUAUAAAUCAGGACUUUGGAAACAUUCUUUAUCUCAAGAUUUUUCACUCGUAGGAGAAAAGAGGUUCAUUAACUACACGAUAAAUCUCAGCUCAUCCAAUGGGCCGUGGAUUGUAGACGGCAUUUGCCGCCUCUUGACAUUUUUGCAAUGACUUUUAACCUUGAAGAGAUUACCUGAAUGAAACCUAGUUUUGUAAUAUGACAAGACUGGUGGAUUCUUGUCCUCAGGGCAUUGGUCCAAAUUCAUAUCUUUUUUUUGUAUCUAUUAGGGGUAAAACUAGCCUAAUCCAUCAGACAGGGGAUUAACAUCAAGCUACUACUUAAAAUGUCGCAUUUGUGGUUCCUUAACUCUGAGGCAUGCUGCUCUUCCUUUGUUGUCACAGGUGUCUCUUUCAUGCUGUUCUGUGAGUCACCACUUUUGCUGUAAAUCUCAUGUAAUACUACCACAAAAUCCAUUAAUAAAAAAGUAUUACUUCAUACAA